AGUGAACGCUGGCGGUAGGCCUAACACAUGCCAGUCGAACGGCAGCACAGUAAGAGCUUGCUCUUACGGGUGGCGAGUGGCGGACGGGUGAGGAAUACAUCGGAAUCUACUUUUUCGUGGGGGAUAACGUAGGGAAACUUACGCUAAUACCGCAUACGACCUACGGGUGAAAGCAGGGGAUCUUCGGACCUUGCGCGAUUGAAUGAGCCGAUGUCGGAUUAGCUAGUUGGCGGGGUAAAGACCCACCAAGGCGACGAUCCGCAGCUGGUCUGAGAGGAUGAUCAGCCACACUGGAACUGAGACACGGUCCAGACUCCUACGGGAGGCAGCAGUGGGGAAUAUUGGACAAUGGGCGCAAGCCUGAUCCAGCCAUACCGCGUGGGUGAAGAAGGCCUUCGGGUUGUAAAGCCCUUUUGUUGGGAAAGAAAAGCAGCAGGUUAAUACCCCGCUGUUCUGACGGUACCCAAAGAAUAAGCACCGGCUAACUUCGUG
rnacentral:rRNA from 1 species